rnacentral:rRNA from 1 species
UUUUGGACAAUGGGGGCAACCCUGAUCCAGCAAUGCCGCGUGAGUGAAGAAGGCCUUCGGGUUGUAAAGCUCUUUUGUCCCCCCGAGAAACGGUGGGAGCUAAUAUCUUCUGCUAAUGACGGUACCUGAAGAAUAAGCACCGGCUAACUACGUGCCAGCAGCCGCGGUAAUACGUAGGGUGCAAGCGUUAAUCGGAAUUACUGGGCGUAAAGCGUGCGCAGGCGGUUGUGCAAGACAGAUGUGAAAUCCCUGGGCUCAACCUAGGAAUUGCAUUUGUGACUGCACGGCUAGAGUGUGUCAGAGGGGGGUAGAAUUCCACGUGUAGCAGUGAAAUGCGUAGAUAUGUGGAGGAAUACCGAUGGCGAAGGCAGCCCCCUGGGAUAACACUGACGCUCAUGCACGAAA